GAUGAACGCUGGCGGCGUGCUUAACACAUGCAAGUCGAACGGAAAGGCUCCUGCUUGCAGGGGUACUCGAGUGGCGAACGGGUGAGUAACACGUGGGUGAUCUGCCCUUCACUUCGGGAUAAGCCUGGGAAACUGGGUCUAAUACCGGAUAGGACGAUGGUUUGGAUGCCAUUGUGGAAAGUUUUUCGGUGUGGGAUGAGCUCGCGGCCUAUCAGCUUGUUGGUGGGGUAAUGGCCUACCAAGGCGUCGACGGGUAGCCGGCCUGAGAGGGUGUACGGCCACAUUGGGACUGAGAUACGGCCCAGACUCCUACGGGCGGCAGCAGUGGGGAAUAUUGCACAAUGGGCGCAAGCCUGAUGCAGCGACGCAGCGUGGGGGAUGACGGCCUUCGGGUUGUAAACUCCUUUCGCUAGGGACGAAGCGCAAGUGACGGUACCUGGAGAAGAAGCACCGGCUAACUACGUG
rnacentral:rRNA from 1 species